rnacentral:misc_RNA from 1 species
UACGGAGGGUGCAAGCGUUGUUCGGAAUUAUUGGGCGUAAAGCGCGCGCAGGCGGCCGACCAAGUCUGGUGUGAAAUCCCGGGGCUCAACCCCGGAAUGGCACUGGAAACUGGCCGGCUUGAGUCCGAGAGGGGUAUGUGGAAUUCCUGGUGUAGGAGUGAAAUCCGUAGAGAUCAGGAGGAACACCGGUGGCGAAGGCGACAUACUGGAUCGGAACUGACGCUGAGGCGCGAAAGCGUGGGGAGCAAACAGG